rnacentral:misc_RNA from 1 species
UAUAGACAUUGCAUAUUCAAUUCCCAUUAUCGCCCGCGUCUCAGUUUAGAUCUCAUGAGUAAACUAUUCAGUCAUAGAAGCAAUCUUCAUAUAUACAUAGGUCUCCAGUAUCUAAUUCAAUCCAUUAUUGUCCGCGGAAGUUAAAUGAGAACGAAAUAUUCAUCCAGCAACUCAAACAGUUUCUAUACAUUCACCAAAAUUGUUGCAGUUGAAUUAUCAUCACACAUAUAUCAUCAACAGAACCUCGUGAAACAGCAAGAUCGAUAAGCUUUUUAGAGGCCAAUAAUGGUUGUGGCUUACCGAUGCCUGUGCAGCACAAAGGCCUAGCAGCAUCAACUACUUCCUGAUUGCUGACUUUAUCCCAUAAACCGUCAGAUGCAAGGACUAAGAACUCCAACUCAGGAUUAAGUUCAACGACUGUAGUCUCAGGUUCUGCGAUCACCCAUUGUUUAAGAUAACGAUCUCCUAUACCUCUCGAUACAGCAAGCGAUCCCUGGAUUCUCCAAACACCAUUAGAACAAUCUACAUAACCACCCAAACUCUCAAUUCUGUCUUUCUCGUCUUUUCUUGAAGGCUUGUGAUCUGAGGUGAUUGCUUCUGCAAUCCCACCUCUGCUAACAACAGCGCGACAAUCACCAGCAUUAGAUACAACUAAAUCACCGUCUCUGAUCAAUGCUGUUACGCAACACGAUCCACCCCCAAAUUCUUCACUGAGGAAUUCGGUAUCUGUCUUUAAAUAAACAUUUUUCAGCACCUCCACAACAUCUUCAUCAUUCCUCCUUACUAAUUCAUCCAUAAUGUUCUUAUUCAAGUGCUCUGCUGCAAACUCUGCAGCUUUAGGUCCUCCAUGUCCAUCAAAUACACCAAAAAUACCCUGUUUUGAAUCUCCUUGUAAAUUGACAAGUGCAGAAUAACGAUCCUCCAUUGCACCUCUCCUUCCACGUUUACAACAAACAGAAUAUUCAUUGCCUUCAACCUCAACAAAAUCCGCCGCUGCCGUCGGAGUUUCCGGAAAAUUUCCAAAAUUCGUCGAAACGACCGGAAUAUCCAAUCUAGCAGGUCUCUUCCUCUUCGAAACCGUCGUAGAAGUAGAAACCGGUGCAGACGUUGAACACUCAGAAGAAUUUCUGUUAACGCUAAUCGUUGCCUGUGAAGAUUUCUCAAUCAGAAGAAUUUUCAAUUGCGAAGACGGAGACAAAGAAGAAAAAGUAAAUGAAGGAAAUUUCGUUAAAGUUCGAAAUUCAGAUGAUUUCCUAGAAGGCGAAGAAGAUGAAAAUGACGCCGAUUUACAUAAGAGAGAAUUAGUCACCGGAAUCCUAGUCGCCGGCGAGAAUACCGGUGAAUUUGGAAUAGCGACGGUACAAGACAUUGCUUUAAUUUUUUUAAAAAAAAGUAGUUUGGUAUUGCGUGUGA